rnacentral:misc_RNA from 1 species
UGGUUCUGGCAUCGAUGAAGAACGCAGCGAAAUGCGAUAAGUAAUGUGAAUUGCAGAAUUCAGUGAAUCAUCGAGUCUUUGAACGCACAUUGCGCCCUCUGGUAUUCCGGGGGGCACGCCCGUUCGAGCGUCAUUGCACCAAUCAAGCCUGGCUUGGUAUUGGGGCACGGGGGAGACCCGGCCCUCAAUGUCUUCGGCAGGAGCGCCCCGAUCGCAGCGUUGUGGCAUACAUUCUCGCUGGUGAGACGGGUGGUUCGCGCCGUAAACUCCAUCAAAGGUUGACCUCGGAUCGGGUGAGGAUACCCGCUGA